rnacentral:sRNA from 1 species
GCUGAAUGGUUUGAAGGGUAGGGCCAGAGCCUUUGGAUCUUAAACUCUUAACAGUCUGUUGAUGACCAUGUGUCCACACCAGGUUUGACAUCAAUAUGGUGACCUCUUGGGAGUGGGGGACCACCAGAUUGCUUAAAGAGAGAUGAAAUGGCCCAGAUCAGAAAUGGAGCAGGUCUAAACUCCUGUGUUACCAUGACUGGUUUCAAACUAUUGAGUUGUGCAAAGAAAUGUUUACAAUCCACU